UACGUAGGGUGCAAGCGUUAUCCGGAAUGAUUGGGCGUAAAGCGUCUGUAGGUGGCUUUUUAAGUCCGCCGUCAAAUCCCAGGGCGUCAACCCUGGACAGGCGGUGGAAACUACCAAGCUGGAGUACGGAUAGGGGCAGAGGGAAUUUCCGGUGGAGCGGUGAAAUGCGGUAGAGAUCGGGAAAGAACACCAACGGCGAAAGCACUCUGCUGGGCCGACACUGACACUGAGAGACGAAAGCUAGGGGAGCGAAUGGG
rnacentral:rRNA from 1 species